AACGAACGCUGGCGGCAUGCCUAACACAUGCAAGUCGAACGAGACCUUCGGGUCUAGUGGCGCACGGGUGCGUAACGCGUGGGAAUCUGCCCAGAGGUUCGGAAUAACACAGAGAAAUUUGUGCUAAUACCGGAUGAUGUCGCAAGACCAAAGAUUUAUCGCCUUUGGAGGAGCCCGCGUAGGAUUAGGUAGUUGGUGGGGUAAAGGCUCACCAAGCCGACGAUCCUUAGCUGGUCUGAGAGGAUGAUCAGCCACACUGGGACUGAGACACGGCCCAGACUCCUACGGGAGGCAGCAGUGGGGAAUAUUGGACAAUGGGCGAAAGCCUGAUCCAGCAAUGCCGCGUGAGUGAAGAAGGCCUUCGGGUUGUAAAGCUCUUUUACCCGGGAAGAUAAUGACUGUACCGGGAGAAUAAGCCCCGGCUAACUCCGUGCCAGCCGCCGCGGUAAGAC
rnacentral:rRNA from 1 species